CAGAAGCCGCGGGAAUACGAAGGGUGCAAGCGUUAAUCGGAAUUACUGGGCGUAAAGCGUGCGUAGGCGGUUUGUUAAGUCUGUUGUGAAAUCCCCGGGCUCAACCUGGGAAUGGCAAUGGAUACUGGCAAGCUAGAGUGUGUCAGAGGAUGGUGGAAUUCCCGGUGUAGCGGUGAAAUGCGUAGAGAUCGGGAGGAACAUCAGUGGCGAAGGCGGCCAUCUGGGACAACACUGACGCUGAGGCACGAAAGCGUGGGGAGCAAACAGGAUUAGAUACCCGGGUAGUCCCUGUCUCUUAUAC
rnacentral:rRNA from 1 species